UACGUAGGGCGCAAGCGUUGUCCGGAAUUAUUGGGCGUAAAGAGCUCGUAGGCGGCUUGUUGCGUCAGCUGUGAAAGCCCGCAGCUCAACUGUGGGCUUGCAGCUGAUACGGGCAGGCUUGAGUUCGGUAGGGGAGGCUGGAAUUCCUGGUGUAGCGGUGAAAUGCGCAGAUAUCAGGAGGAACGCCGGUGGCGAAGGCGGGUCUCUGGGCCGAUACUGACGCUGAGGAGCGAAAGCGUGGGGAGCGAACAGG
rnacentral:rRNA from 1 species